rnacentral:rRNA from 1 species
AUUCCUACGGGAGGCAGCAGUGGGGAAUAUUGCGCAAUGGGCGCAAGCCUGAUGCAGCCAUGCCGCGUGUAUGAAGAAGGCCUUCGGGUUGUAAAGUACUUUCAGCGGGGAGGAAGGGAGUAAAGUUAAUACCUUUGCUCAUUGACGUUACCCGCAGAAGAAGCACCGGCUAACUCCGUGCCAGCAGCCGCGGUAAUAAU